AGCAGAGUGGCUGAGAUAAGCGACGGGUUGUAAACCCUUUUACGAUAUUAUUCCUCUGCUG
rnacentral:tRNA from 1 species